rnacentral:rRNA from 1 species
UACGUAGGGGGCAAGCGUUGUCCGGAAUCAUUGGGCGUAAAGCGCGUGUAGGCGGCUGACUAAGUCCGCUCUGAAAGCCCGGGGCUCAACCCCGGGAGGCGGGUGGAUACUGGUCAGCUCGAGUCCGGAAGAGGAGUGUGGAAUUCCCGGUGUAGCGGUGAAAUGCGCAGAUAUCGGGAGGAACACCAAUGGCGAAGGCAGCUUGCUGGGACGGUACUGACGCUGAGGCGCGAAAGCGUGGGGAGCAAACAGG